rnacentral:sRNA from 1 species
CUCCCCUUCACUUACUCUGAUUGAUGGAAACACGUGCUGGGAGCUUUCCCUGACAUUCUUUCCAAAGACUGAAAAUGUAGAAGACAGAAGUAGCUCAGGGUCCUGGGGGAAUGGAGGACAUCCAAGCCCGUCCAGGAACUAUGGAGAUGGGACUUCCUAUGACCACAUGACCAGCAGGGACCUUGGGUCACAUGACAAUCUCUCUCCACCUUUUGUCAAUUCCAGAAUACAAAGUAAAACAGAAAGGGGCUCAUACUCAUCUUAUGGGAGAGAAUCAAACUUACAGGGUUGCCACCAGGUCUAUGCUCCAUCAGCAAGCACUGCCGACUACAAUAGGGACUCGCCAGGCUAUCCUUCCUCCAAACCAGCAACCAGCACUUUCCCUAGCUCCUUCUUCAUGCAAGAUGGCCAUCACAGCAGUGACCCUUGGAGCUCCUCCAGUGGGAUGAAUCAGCCUGGCUAUGCAGGAAUGUUGGGCAACUCUUCUCAUAUUCCACAGUCCAGCAGCUACUGUAGCCUGCAUCCACAUG